CAAGGCUUGACAUACACGAGAACAUCCCAGAAAUGGGGGACUCUUUGGACACUCGUGAACAGGUGGUGCAUGGUUGUCGUCAGCUCGUGUCGUGAGAUGUUGGGUUAAGUCCCGCAACGAGCGCAACCCUCGUUCUAUGUUGCCAGCACGUAAUGGUGGGAACUCAUGGGAUACUGCCGGGGUCAACUCGGAGGAAGGUGGGGAUGACGUCAAAUCAUCAUGCCCCUUAUGUCUUGGGCUUCACGCAUGCUACAAUGGCCGGUACAAAGGGCUGCAAUACCGUGAGGUGGAGCGAAUCCCAAAAAGCCGGUCCCAGUUCGGAUUGAGGUCUGCAACUCGACCUCAUGAAGUCGGAGUCGCUAGUAAUCGCAGAUCAGCAACGCUGCGGUGAAUA
rnacentral:rRNA from 1 species